rnacentral:rRNA from 1 species
GAUAAACGCUGGCGGCGUGCCUAAUGCAUGCAAGUCGAACGGGGUCCCUUCGGGGGCUUACGUGGCGGACGGGUGAGGAACACGUGGGGAACCUGCCCUGAGGUGGGGGGUAGCCCGUGGAAACAUGGGGUAAUUCCGCAUAGCCUCCCAUGCUAGUAGGGCGUGGGAGGAAAGCCUUCGGGCGCCUUGGGAGGGGCCUGCGGCCGAUUAGCUAGCUGGUGGGGUAACGGCCUACCAGGGCGAUGAUCGGUAGCUGGUCUGAGAGGACGGCCAGCCACAGGGGAACUGAGACACGGUCCCCACUCCUACGGGAGGCAGCAGCAAGGAAUUUUCCGCAAUGGGGGAAACCCUGACGGAGCAACGCCGCGUGCGGGAUGACGCCUUUCGGGGUGUAAACCGCUUUUGUCGGGGACGAAGGCCUCAGCAAUGAGGUGAGACGGUACCCGGCGAAGAAGGUCCGGCUAACUACGUGCCAGCCGCCGCCGUAAUAC